rnacentral:lncRNA from 1 species
CUGACACUAUUCAAGUGAUUUUCCUUACAAAGUUGCCAUAUAGUACUCCCUCGCUAAUUGUUGGUCACCUCAGAGCUCACCGAUCUCAUGGAGAGCUGGAAAUUUUACCAUCAGAUGAUAGGUUGAAACCACAGCUUAGAAGGAGUUCAAUCUGAACUGACCUAAAAUAGCAUUAUACACAGAUAGGCUUUUUCACCACAAAGUAGUUCAGAUCGAUAACAGCCUAUUUCGAAGCCCAUCCUGCAACCGUGGUGAGAGGAUUAGUUCCUUCCAUGGUC